rnacentral:rRNA from 1 species
GUUGGGGAAAACCGUUGGAAACGACGGCUAAUACCGGGAUGUGGCGCCCGGAGACAUCUCGGAGCGCUAAAGGGGCCGCAAGGCUCCCGCUCGAGGAGGGGCUCGCGCACCAUCAGCUUGUGGCGGGUAACGGCCCACCAAGGCAUACGGUUAGCUGGUCUGAGAGGAUGACCAGCCCCACUGGGACUGAGAUACUGCCCAGACUCCUACGGGAGGCUGCAGUCGAGGAUCAUUUGCAAUGGGCGAAAGCCUGACAAUGCGACGCUGCGUGGAGGGAACUGAAGGCCUUCGGGUUGUAAAACUCCUGUCAUGAGGGAACAGGCGAGGGUACCCAAUACGUACCUUAGUUGAGUGUACUUCAAGAGGAAGGGACGGCUAACUCUGUGCCAGCCGCUGC